rnacentral:rRNA from 1 species
GAUGAACGCUGGCGGCGUGCCUAAUACAUGCAAGUCGAGCGAACGGACGAGAAGCUUGCUUUUCUGAUGUUAGCGGCGGACGGGUGAGUAACACGUGGAUAACCUACCUAUAAGACUGGGAUAACUUCGGGAAACCGGAGCUAAUACCGGAUAAUAUUUUGAACCGCAUGGUUCAAAAGUGAAAGACGGUCUUGCUGUCACUUAUAGAUGGAUCCGCGCUGCAUUAGCUAGUUGGUAAGGUAACGGCUUACCAAGGCAACGAUGCGUAGCCGACCUGAGAGAGUGAUCGGCCACACUGGAACUGAGACACGGUCCAGACUCCUACGGGAGGCAGCAGUAGGGAAUCUUCCGCAAUGGGCGAAAGCAUGACGGAGCAACGCCGCGUGAGUGAUGAAGGUCUUCGGAUCGUAAAACUCUGUUAUUAGGGAAGAACAUAUGUGUAAGUAACUGUGCACGUCUUGACGGUACCUAAUCAGAAAGCCACGGCUAACUACGUG